CACGUAGGGUGCAAGCGUUGUCCGGAAUCAUUGGGCGUAAAGAGCUCGUAGGCGGCUUAGUAAGUCGGGUGUGAAAACCCCAGCUCAACCUGGGGACGCCACCCGAUACUGCUAUAGCUAGAGUCCAGUAGGGGAGUGUGGAAUUCCCAGUGUAGCGGUGAAAUGCGCAGAUAUUGGGAGGAACACCAGCGGCGAAGGCGGCACUCUGGGCUGGAACGUGACGCUGAGGAGCGAAAGCGUGGGUAGCAAACAGG
rnacentral:rRNA from 1 species